rnacentral:rRNA from 1 species
UACAGAGGGGGCAAGCGUUAUUCGGAAUUAUUGGGCGUAAAGGGCGCGUAGGCGGCCUGGCAAGUGACGGGUGAAAGCCUUCGGCUUAACCGAGGAACUGCCUGUCAGACUGUUAGGCUUGAGACCGGGAGAGGUGAGUGGAAUUCCCAGUGUAGCGGUGAAAUGCGUAGAUAUCAGGAGGAACACCGGUGGUGUAGACGGCUUUCUGGACCGUAACUGACGCUGAGACACGAAAGCGUGGGUAGCAAACAGG